rnacentral:rRNA from 1 species
GGAGAUAGCUGGUUCUCUCCGAAAUAGCUUUAGGGCUAGCGUCGAGUAUGAGUAGUGGAGGUAGAGCACUGAAUGGGCUAGGGGGCAUAGCGCUUACCGAACCUUAUCAAACUCCGAAUGCCACAUACUUUGAGCUCGGCAGUCAGACUACGAAUGAUAAGAUCCGUGGUCAAAAGGGAAACAGCCCAGAUCGUCAGCUAAGGUCCCAAAGUGUAAGUUAAGUGGGAAAGGAUGUGAGAUUUCUACGACAACUAGGAUGUUGGCUUAGAAGCAGCCAUUCAUUAAAAGAGUGCGUAAUAGCUCACUAGUCGAGAGAUCUUGCGCCGAAAAUGUAACGGGGCUAAACUUACCACCGAAGCUACGGGCUUGAACAUAGUUCAAGCGGUAGGAGAGCGUCGUAACCGGGCUGAAGUCGUACCGUAAGGAGCGGUGGACUGGUUACGAGUGAGAAUGUUGGCAUCAGUAGCGAGAUGUGGGUGAGAAUCCCACAGGCCGAAAACCUAAGGUUUCCUCAGGAAGGUUCGUCCGCUGAGGGUUAGUCGGGACCUAAGCCGAGGCCGAAAGGCGUAGGUGAUGGACAACUGGUUGAUAUUCCAGUACCACUACCAUCGUUAUUAUCGAUGGCGUGACGCAGGAGGAUAGUGUGUGCUAGCUAUUGGAUGCU